rnacentral:ncRNA from 1 species
CCCGCUGAGUUUAAGCAUAUCAAUACGUGGAGAAAAAUAAACUUACAAGGGUUUCCUUAGUAACGGCGAGCGAAUCGGGAGCAACCCAUCCUUAGAAUCGGGCGGCUCCAUCAUCCGAAUUAUAGUCUAGAGAAGCAUCCUUAGCGGCGGACCAACCCCAAGUCCCUUGUAAGGAGGUGCUAGAGAGGGUGAGAGCCCCGUUGUGCCCGGACCCUAUCGCACCACGAGUCAUUAUCUAUGAGUUGGCUUGUUUAGGAAUGUAGCCCAAAUCAGGUGGUGAAUUCCAUCCAAGGCUAAAUACGAGCAAGAGAGCGAUAGAAAACAAGUACCGCCAGGGAAAGAUAAAAAGGAAUUUGAAAAGAGAGUCAAAGAAUACUUGAAAUUAUCAGGAGGAAAAUGGAUAGGGGUUGGCGAUGCGCCCCGAUCAGAUGUGGAACAGCGACAAGCCGGUCCACCGAUUGACUCACGAUGUAGACCAACUUAGAUUGUGGGGGGAGGGGCGGCCAAAGACCGGGCUCUCUAUACGCUUGUGUAACACCAUCUCCUCAAUUAUGGCAGGCAGCACGUGCCUCCGGCGUGCUUCGGCAUCUGCACGCUCCAGAUACUAGCCUGUGGGCUUCCCAUUUGACCUGUCUUGAAACACGA